UGUGUGCUGAAAAGUGGCGCUGCCUUCAAGCGGAUGAACAGAGUGCUGCAUCGAUGGGAUGAAUGUUAACAUGGUGAUGCACAACAGUUCAAAUAACGUUGUGGAAGAUGUGCAAGGGUCAUUACAGGAAGGAAGGACAAGGAGGAUGCGUUUACAAAGGAGUUCACAAUGGCCGAGUGAAGAUGAAACAGACCACAUACACAAUGUACUUUGUUGUCUUCUUGACCAAAUCUCGUAUCACUUUCAACACUAUAACAACAGAAACGUUGCUAUGAAGUAAAUGGAACUUCACACUCA